GAUGAAGAACGCAGCGAAAUGCGAUAAGUAAUGUGAAUUGCAGAAUUCAGUGAAUCAUCGAAUCUUUGAACGCACAUUGCGCCCGCCAGCACUCUGGCGGGCUUGCCUGUUCGAGCGUCAUUUCAACCAUCAAGCCCCCAGGGGCUUGUGCUGGGGCCCUGCGGCUGCCCGCAGGCCCUGAAAACCAGUGGCGGGCUCGCUAGUCACACCGAGCGCAGUAGCACAUCUCGCUCAGGGCGUGCGGCGGGCUCCUGCCGUGAAACCCCCCACUGUAACCCCAAAGGUUGACCUCGGAUCAGGUAGGAAUACCCGCUGAACUUAAGCAUAUCAAUAAGCGGAGGA
rnacentral:misc_RNA from 1 species